rnacentral:rRNA from 1 species
GAUGAACGCUAGCGGCAGGCCUAACACAUGCAAGUCGAGGGGUAACAUAGGAAAGCUUGCUUUUCUGAUGACGACCGGCGCACGGGUGCGUAACGUGUAUACAACCUACCUUUUAGCGGGGAAUAGCCCAGGGAAACUUGGAUUAAUGCCCCAUAGUAUAUAGACUUCUCCUGAAGUUUAUAUUAAACAUUUAUGGCUAUUAGAUGGGUAUGCGUCCUAUUAGUUAGUUGGUAAGGUAACGGCUUACCAAGGCAGCGAUAGGUAGGGGUCCUGAGAGGGAGAUCCCCACACUGGUACUGAGACACGGACCAGACUCCUACGGGAGGCAGCAGUGAGGAAUAUUGGACAAUGGGCGAGAGCCUGAUCCAGCCAUGCCGCGUGCAGGAAGACUGCCCUAUGGGUUGUAAACUGCUUUUACAGAGGAAGAACCACCCCCACGUGUGGGGGUUUGACGGUACUCUGCGAAUAAGGAUCGGCUAACUCCGUG